rnacentral:rRNA from 1 species
AGUGAACGCUGGCGGUAGGCCUAACACAUGCAAGUCGAACGGCAGCACAGUAAGAGCUUGCUCUUACGGGUGGCGAGUGGCGGACGGGUGAGGAAUACAUCGGAAUCUACUUUUUCGUGGGGGAUAACGUAGGGAAACUUACGCUAAUACCGCAUACGACCUACGGGUGAAAGCAGGGGAUCUUCGGGCCUUGCGCGAUUGGAUGAGCCGAUGUCGGAUUAGCUAGUUGGCGGGGUAAAGGCCCACCAAGGCGACGAUCCGUAGCUGGUCUGAGAGGAUGAUCAGCCACACUGGAACUGAGACACGGUCCAGACUCCUACGGGAGGCAGCAGUGGGGAAUAUUGGACAAUGGGCGCAAGCCUGAUCCAGCAUACCGCGUGGGUGAAGAAGGCCUUCGGGUUGUAAAGCCCUUUUGUUGGGAAAGAAAAGCAGCAGGUUAAAACCCCGCUGUUCUGACGGUACCCAAAGAAUAAGCACCGGCUAACUUCGUG